rnacentral:rRNA from 1 species
AUUGAACGCUGGCGGCAGGCUUAACACAUGCAAGUCUAGCGAGCGGCGGACGGGUGAGUAAUGUCUGGGAAACUGCCCGAUGGAGGGGGAUAACUACUGGAAACGGUAGCUAAUACCGCAUACCAUCGGAGGUGCCCAGAUGGAAUUAGUUACUGGGUGGGGUUACGGCUCACCUAGGCGACGCUCCCUAGCUGGUCUGAGAGGAUGACCAGCCACACUGGAACUGAGACACGGUCCAGACUCCUACGGGAGGCAUCAGUGGGGAAUAUUGCACAAUUGGCGCAAGCCUGAUACAGCCAUGCCGCGUGUGUGAAGAAGGCCUUCGGGUUGUAAAGCACUUUCAGCGAGGAGGCGUUACUCGCAGAAGAAGCACCGGCUAACUCCGUGCCAGCAGCCGCGGUAAUUC